AAAACCAACGGAUGAGACCCUUAUUCUUAAUCUUUUCACAUUACUGUAAAGAGUUAGCGGAAAGAUAAGUGAAGCUACUGAGGCUCACAAGAGCUAAAAGACUUCCUUUUUCUGUUAUCAAAAGAUUCCUCAAAUGGAUUUUAAUGAUUCUGAUGGUUUUGAGGCUUUCGGGUUGGAGUUGGUUAAAUGAGGGAGGAUUUAGCUACUUCUGUGAUGGAAAAAGGGUGGUGAAAAGUGAGGAUUUUGUGGGUAGGAAAAGAGUGCAUAUUAGGUGUUUGACGCAAUUACCAAGAUGGUAUGAUUUGGAGAAGAUGGUGAGAAAUUGGGUUGAGGAGUGGCAGAAUUUACUGGCUGCUUCUCUCAGUUCCAAUCGACCCAUAUAAUCUUGAAACUCUUUCUUUAAUGUUUGGUUUGCUUCGAGAAAGCUCACUACUUUAAUCAAAGAACCACAAAAUCAGGUCUUGCAAUACCGCAAAGGUUCUAAUUUGUUAAAAGGCAGCGGUACGGACUUGAAGGCACGGUAUUUCCCAACGUUAUUCAAGUGCUCAUUUUCCAACCUGAACAAUGAAAACAGCACAACUACUGUCAGAUACAAAUAUGUUGUAACAGGUAACAUGUAUUAUUUUUCAGGUUAUUAAUCCCACUUUUUUUUAGACGGUAGUUAUCUUUUUAGGUGACCUGAAAAUGUAAUCUAUCAUAUUGUUGGUGCAUAGAAGUAAAACUUGAUAAAUAAUGCA